rnacentral:lncRNA from 1 species
GAAUUUUUUUUUUCAAAUUUUGACUUCAAAUCAAGUUGAAUUUUUGCAUUCGAAUAACUCGAAUAUCAAACCCUUUUACUUCCCCCAAAACCCCCCAAAACUUUUUUUUCCGAAUUUAUGUCUACUAUUUAUAUCAUUGAAUUAAAUUUCACAUUUUGUACUAGUAACAAACCAAUUUUAUCUGGCCCAAACCCAAACCAAAUAAACAGAACAACAAAACAAAAAUAAAAAUAAAGUCUAUUUACAUAAGCCCAAAUACAAAAAAACCCUAAAAGCCCAAAGCCCACUAUCUAAACCUAAAAUAGAAAACCCUAAUUCCCCUAAGCUUCCAGCUGUUGUCGCUCCUCUGCCUUUGCCACGUCAGCAGUUGCGCCACUCGAGGUUUGCCCUCCUUACACC